rnacentral:sRNA from 1 species
CUUAGGCUUAUAAGAUCGGGUUGCGGUUUAAGAUCUUAUACACAAUCAUACACAUGACAUCAAGUCGUAUUCGACUCCAAAACACUAACCAACCUUCUUCUUGCGUCUCAAAGAUUUCAUGGUGUAGCCAAAGUCUGUAUGAGUCUUUGGCUUUGUGUCUUCUAACAAGGAUACAAUUCUUACGCCUUUAAGAUCCAGUUGCGGUUUAAGUUCUUAUACUCAAUCAUACACAUGACAUCAAGUCAUAUUCGACUCCAAAACACUAACCAAGCUUCUCAAAGCUUUCAUGGUGUAGCCAAAGUCCGUAUGAGUCUUUGGCUUUGUAUCUUCUAACAAGGAACCAUUACUUAGGCUUUUAAGAUCAGGUUGCGGUUUUAGUUCUUAUACUCAAUCAUACACAUGACAUCAAGUCAUAUUCGACUCCAAAACAGUAACCAACCUUCUUCUUGCUUCUCAAAGCUUUCAUGGUGUAGCCAAAGUCUGUAUGAGUCUUUGGCUUUGUGUCUUCUACAAGGAUACAACUCUUACGCCUUUAAGAUCGGGUUGCGGUUUAAGUUCUUAUACUCAAUCAUACAAAUGACAUCAAGUCAUAUUCGACUCCAAACCACUAACACCCCUUCUUCUUGCUUCUCAAAGUUUUCAUGGUGUAGCCAAAGUCUGUAUGAGUCUUUGGCUUUGUGUCUUCUAACAAGGAUACAAUUCUUACGCCUUUAAGAUCCAGUUGCGGUUUAAGUUCUUAUACUCAAUCAUACACAUGACAUCAAGUUAUAUUCGACUCCAAAACACUAACCAAGCUUCUUCUAGCCUCUCAAAGCUUUCAUGGUGUAGCCAAAGUCCGUAUGAUUCUUUGGCUUUGUAUCUUCUAACAAGGAAACACUACUUAGGCUUAUAAGAUCGGGUUACGGUUUAAGUUCUUAUACUCAAUCAUACACAUGACAUCAAGUCAUAUUCGACUCCAAAACACUAACCAACCUUCUUCUUGCUUCUCAAAGCUUUCAUGGUGUAGGCAAAGUCCGUAUAAGUCUUUGGUUUUAUUGUUCUAAU